CAAGGGACUUAAACAAAUUUGAGCACCUAUUGCGAAAUCUUUAGGUGAAUGGAGUCUAAUUCGGCGAAACCUUUAAAAUGACAACGCCGAGCUAAGCUCAACGGUGGGGGCAAGGAAAGGGGAUAAUCAUAUCCCUUUUCCUUUCCCCUUUAUUAUUUUUUCUAAACCAUUUCUCCUCCGUUGAGAAAGUGUAGAGACCAUACGGCUCCUGCCUGACUAAAUCCCUUCAAUUAUUUGAUUGCGAGGCAUUUAAAGGCAAAGACAGGGUCCAGACCACAAACAUUCAAUUAAUUGAAAA
rnacentral:ncRNA from 1 species